GAGAAUAUGUAUUGUAUAUUGUAGGUAUACGUUACUGAAUAAUUUUAUAAUUAUGUAUUUUGUAGACCAUGCACAGUGACCUUGAUUGAUCUUGACCAAUGGCUGUUAAAACUAUAGGCUAUUCAACAGGUAAUACAUAGUUUAACUUAACCUCCUGCGGAAUAUAUGUCGACGUUUCAGUCGUGUCAGUAGAAUCACUAUAUCUUCACUGGGACCCCCACGUUUGAUAUGUCAAUACGUAGUUCAAAUAUUUUUCAUUUCAUCAUCUUUCAUUACCUUGCCAUUACCUAUGAAUCAAUGAAAUAUUUUAACACCACUAUUCUUGUAUUCAAGAUAUUUACUGCUUCUAUUUACUCUCCUAUAUAUCAAUCGAAUGGCAUUAAUAAAUUAUAUGCGUUUCGUCCAUCAUUGCUUAAACAUAGUCAUGGAGUAGGGCGUGGGAACAGAUUUGCCUUCUUCAAUUUGAAUGGUCUGAUUUGAAAGUUGAUGCAGGUGAAGCUGAUUAGUGGACUGGAAAUGUAUCAUAGAGAG